UUGAGAGUUUGAUCCUGGCUCAGGAUGAACGCUAGCGGCAGGCUUAACACAUGCAAGUCGAGGGGCAGCACGGGUAGCAAUACCUGGUGGCGACCGGCGCACGGGUGCGUAACGCGUAUGGAACCUACCCACCGCAGGGGGAUAGCCCACCGAAAGGUGGAUUAAUACCCCAUGGCUUCCCGGAAUCGCAUGAUUCUGGGUGUAAAGCUACGGCGGCGGUGGAUGGCCAUGCGUGCCAUUAGCUAGUCGGCGGGGUAACGGCCCACCGAGGCUAUGAUGGCUAGGGGGUCUGAGAGGAUGAUCCCCCACACUGGUACUGAGACACGGACCAGACUCCUACGGGAGGCAGCAGUGAGGAAUAUUGGUCAAUGGGCGGAAGCCUGAACCAGCCAUGCCGCGUGCAGGAAGACGGCCCUACGGGUUGUAAACUGCUUUUGCGCGGGAAGAAUAACCCCCUCGUGAGGGGGGAUGCCGGUACCGCGCGAAUAAGGAUCGGCUAACUCCGUGCCAGCAGCCGCGGUAAUACGGAGGAUCCAAGCGUUAUCCGGAUUUACUGGGUUUAAAGGGUGCGUAGGCUGACACUUAAGUCAGCGGUGAAAUGCAACGGCUCAACCGUUGAACUGCCGUUGAAACUGGGUGCCUUGGGUUCGGUCGAGGCUGGCGGAAUGCGUGGUGUAGCGGUGAAAUGCUUAGAUAUCACGCGGAACGCCGAUUGCGAAGGCAGCUGGCCAGACCGAUACCGACGCUGAGGCACGAAAGCGUGGGGAUCAAACAGGAUUAGAUACCCUGGUAGUCCACGCCGUAAACGAUGAUCACUGGAUGCCGGCGAUACACCGUCGGUGUCUGAGCGAAAGCAUUAAGUGAUCCACCUGGGGAGUACGAUCGCAAGGUUGAAACUCAAAGGAAUUGACGGGGGCCCGCACAAGCGGAGGAACAUGUGGUUUAAUUCGAUGAUACGCGAGGAACCUUACCUGGGCUCAAACGCACUUGGAAGCGCGCCGAAAGGCGUGUGCCAGCAAUGGCCGGGUGCGAGGUGCUGCAUGGUUGUCGUCAGCUCGUGCCGUGAGGUGUCGGGUUAAGUCCCAUAACGAGCGCAACCCCUACUGCUAGUUGCCAGCGCGUCAAGGCGGGGACUCUAGCGGAACUGCCGGCGUAAGCCGUGAGGAAGGUGGGGAUGACGUCAAAUCAGCACGGCCCUUAUGUCCAGGGCUACACACGUGUUACAAUGGCCGGUACAGAGGGCAGCCACCCCGCGAGGGGGCGCUAAUCCCGAAAGCCGGUCCCAGUUCGGAUCGGAGUCUGCAACCCGACUCCGUGAAGCUGGAUUCGCUAGUAAUCGCGCAUCAGCUACGGCGCGGUGAAUACGUUCCCGGGCCUUGUACACACCGCCCGUCAAGCCAUGGAAGCUGGGGGUACCUGAAGUCCGUAACCGUGAGGAGCGGCCUAGGGUAAAACCGGUGACUGGGACUAAGUCGUAACAAGGUAGCCGUAG
rnacentral:rRNA from 1 species